rnacentral:rRNA from 1 species
GACGAACGCUGGCGGCGUGCCUAAUACAUGCGAGUAUAACGCUGAAGAGAGGAGCUUGCUCUUCUUGGAUGAGUUGCGAACGGGUGAGUAACGCGUAGGUAACCUGCCUUGUAGCGGGGGAUAACUAUUGGAAACGAUAGCUAAUACCGCAUAACAAUGGAUGACACAUGUCAUUUAUUUGAAAGGGGCAAUUGCUCCACUACAAGAUGGACCUGCGUUGUAUUAGCUAGUAGGUGAGGUAAUGGCUCACCUAGGCGACGAUACAUAGCCGACCUGAGAGGGUGAUCGGCCACACUGGGACUGAGACACGGCCCAGACUCCUACGGGAGGCAGCAGUAGGGAAUCCUCGGCAAUGGGGGCAACCCUGACCGAGCAACGCCGCGUGAGUGAAGAAGGUUUUCGGAUCGUAAAGCUCGGUUGUAAGUCAAGAACGGGUGUGAGAGUGGAAAGUUCACACUGUGACGGUAGCUUACCAGAAAGGGACGGCUAACUACGUG